rnacentral:rRNA from 1 species
GAUGAACGCUAGCUACAGGCUUAACACAUGCAAGUCGAGGGGAAACGAUAUUGGAAGCUUGCUUCCGAUAGGCGUCGACCGGCGCACGGGUGAGUAACGCGUAUCCAACCUGCCCACCACUUGGGGAUAACCUUGCGAAAGUAAGACUAAUCCACAAUGAUAUCUCUAGAAGACAUCUGAAGGAGAUUAAAGAUUUAUCGGUGAUGGAUGGGGAUGCGUCUGAUUAGCUUGUUGGCGGGGUAACGGCCCACCAAGGCGACGAUCAGUAGGGGUUCUGAGAGGAAGGUCCCCCACAUUGGAACUGAGACACGGUCCAAACUCCUACGGGAGGCAGCAGUGAGGAAUAUUGGUCAAUGGACGAGAGUCUGAACCAGCCAAGUAGCGUGCAGGAUGACGGCCCUAUGGGUUGUAAACUGCUUUUAUAAGGGAAUAAAGUGAGCCUCGUGAGGCUUUUUGCAUGUACCUUAUGAAUAAGGACCGGCUAAUUCCGUGCCAGCCGCCGCAGUAA